AAUUGAUGCUUUUGAACUGUGGUGUUGGAGAAGACUCUUGAGAGUCCCUUGGACUGCAUGGAGAUCCAACCAGUCCAUUCUGAAGGAGAUCAGCCCUGGGAUUCCUUUGGAAGGAAUGAUGCUAAAGCUGAAACUCCAGUACUUUGGCUACCUCAUGUGAAGAGUUGACUCACUGGAAAAGACUCUGAUGCUGGGAGAGAUUGGGGGCAGGAGGAGAAGGGGACGACCGAGGAUGAGAUGGCUGGAUGGCAUCACGGACUCGAUGGACGUACUCCUGUCUGCUCUCACCUGGUGUUCUGCAUGCACUUCUGUGUCUGAAGGUGUAUUCCUGAUGUAUCCGUGGAGAGAGAUGAACUCCACAUCCACCUACUCCUCCGCCAUCUUGUUCUCCGGACUAAAGGUCGUGUGGGCUCAGGCCCUGUCCUGCUAAUUGACUCUCUCUACACAUGCAUCUGGG
ensembl:lncRNA